AUUACCAUACGCUUUUGUAGGCUGCUAUGUAAAAUCAUAAUAAACUAUCUAUCUAUUUCAUAUACUUUUGCUUCGACGAUUUUAACACGUAUGUUUACUUUCAAAGUUUCAAUUAUCACCUUUCAACAAUGAAACUGCAAUGUGACUACGCAAGCUAAUGAUCAAAACCUGAUAAUUAAACAUCAUCGUUGAAAAUGCGUAUGUGAAAGAUGCAUUCUCGGAAAAAAUCCAAGAGGUAUUUGAAAGUAGGUCUGCAAAAUUUUGCCAACCUAAAUCUACACAUAUCGCUUUGCAGGUCGGCAUUUAGGUCGGCAAUGCUGAAUGCCGACCUGAGUUUCAAAGACUGCACUCCACUUUAGCAUUCUCUACCAGCGCAUUUCACUUUCAGCUAUGUAAUGUAGUAAGACUAUUUCGUAUUUUCAAUUCAAGACAACAAAGUAUACAUUACAAAUAUAAUAUCAAAAACUAUUUUUCAAGUUUUAGUUCAAAUGUUGUUACUUUCCAGCAUAAUAGUUAAUACCACAGUCCAUUCCUCAUCCUGGUCAAAAACCUCAACACAUUUAUACACAUUUUCAUUGUUGAGUAUGACUUUCCCACAACAACAACUAUAUUUCUCCCCCCUUUGCCCAUACAAUGUUGUCCUUAGUGCAACUGCCUUGCACGUAGUCACUCAAAUUCUUUCACCUCGGGAAACGUCAAGUAAGACCAGUAAAGCACAACCAGCGUGUUAUAAAAGGACUGAUUAAUAUACGAUUGAUCAGAGUGGAAAUAUCGUGUGGAUCACAGCAUUUCAAAUUUAUUUCAAAUCACAUGCAAACGUUUAGACAAAAAACAAACGCUCACCUUGGCACGGUACAUUUUCAUUGUAUUGUUGUUUAUGAUGACAGAUGUUAAUAAUAGCCAUGUACUAUUAUUAAUUGUACACAUAAAAUCACUGUAACAGAAGCAGCCAUUUUGUUUUUAUUUUAGGCUAGGCUGCCUGUUCGCAGGUACGUAUUUAAGGCGGACGCAACCCGAGUGUUUCCACAAAAACGCCAUAGCAAUCUCGCAUAGACAAAAAUAUUCCCAAAAAAAUUUA